rnacentral:lncRNA from 1 species
AUAAUUAUUUAUGAGGACAUUUUAAUCUGUUUAAUAUAUAGCCUGUACAACAUAGGUUGUGUGUGUAUACAUAUGUACAUAUGGAUGCACACAUUUAUGUACAUAUAUAUUUGUAUACACACACAUCUGCCUGGUCUUCUAAUUAAAGGGGCUGAAACCCAGUUUCAGGCAUAAAAAUGAUCACUGACAUCACAGUGCUUCAGAGAGUGUCAGUAAAUCCGUGGGAUAGCACUGUGCUUACAAUGCAAACUGGGUGUCCUGUGUGGAAAACAAACAAAAAUUGUCAAAUAUCAAAUAUCUAAAAUACCAUCCUUCAUACAUUGUUAGUUUUGUUACAUUAAAUUUUCCUCAUUCUAUUUAAUUGGGUAUUGAAUCACUUUUUUAAAUUCUUAAAUUCUUAGUAUUUCAAGCUCUUCUGGAGAAAUAAAAUGAAUGACAAGUACAGAAUUAAAAUAUAAUCCUUAGCAGGCGCGGUGGCUCACACCAGUAAUCCCAGCCCUUUGGGAGGCUGAGGCGGGAAGAUCAUGAGGUCAGGAGAUCGAGACCAUCCUGACUAACACAGUGAAACCCCAUCUUUACUAAAAAUAAAAUUAGCCGGGCAUGGUGGCGUGUGCCUGUAGUCCCAACUACUUGAGAGGCUGAGGCAGGAGAAUCGCUUGAACCCAGGAGGCGGAGGUUGCAGUGAGCUGAGAUGGCGCCACUGCACUCCAGCCUGGGUGACAGAGUGAGACUCUGUCUCAAAAUAAAUAAAUGAAUAAAUAAAUAAAUAAAUAAAAUCCUCAAAUGAACCAGCAUUCUAAUCCAUUUUCGAUUUUAGUAGUUGAGAAGAUGGCCCUUUUCCAAGCAUGCUGAAUGGAACCGAGCAACUCAGAUGUUCUCCACUAACAGAAAAGUUAGUGCUACCUUUGACUUCUGAUAGCCCUAAAAAACUAUACAGCUGUAUUGGAGGUGAGCAAGAAUUGCCAUGGACAUGGGCCUGCCUGGGAGGCUGAGUGGGCAAGAGUAACUUGUAACCAGAAGUGAGUAACUCUCCCUCCUUUCCCAUCUCACUGCUCUUUUCCCUCCACUCCUGUCUCCCUAAGUUUACACUCCCUAACAAAAGAGUAGCAUAUACCAACACAGCCUUUGCUUUAUGGGGACCCAAAUUAAGACAACGGCAUUAAAAUUUAUUUUGCACCUUGCACUUGGGUUCACAGCCAAAGUGCAUUAAAAAAAAAAUAGCAAAAUUGUGAUGUGAUAAUUAAACUCUCCUCUGUGUUAUUGAAGAGUUUCUUAUCUGGGUCAUGGUAAAACUGCAUCAUAACUGCAGUCUUAUGGGUCAUGUUAAAACGGCAUAUAUCUUCUCACAGAGAUGGAGACAUUUAUAACAUCUGCCUGGCAGUUUGCCCAUCCUUGAUUGCAAAAGGGAAUAAAAGCACCUUAGAGAGUAACAAAGAUGACAUGAAAUUUUGAAAGAGAAAAAGAGAGAUGAGAUUGAUUGAGAAAUAAUAU